GAUGAACGCUGGCGGCGUGCCUAAUACAUGCAAGUCGAGCGAACGGACGAGAAGCUUGCUUUUCUGAUGUUAGCGGCGGACGGGUGAGUAACACGUGGAUAACCUACCUAUAAGACUGGGAUAACUUCGGGAAACCGGAGCUAAUACCGGAUAAUAUUUUGAACCGCAUGGUUCAAAAGUGAAAGACGGUCUUGCUGUCACUUAUAGAUGGAUCCGCGCUGCAUUAGCUAGUUGGUAAGGUAACGGCUUACCAAGGCAACGAUGCAUGGCCGACCUGAGAGGGGGAUCGGCCACACUGGAACUGAGACACGGUCCAGACUCCUACGGGAGGCAGCAGUAGGGAAUCUUCCGCAAUGGGCGAAAGCCUGACGGAGCAACGCCGCGUGAGUGAUGAAGGUCUUCGGAUCGUAAAACUCUGUUAUUAGGGAAGAACAUAUGUGUAAGUAACUGUGCACAUCUUGACGGUACCUAAUCAGAAAGCCACGGCUAACUACGUG
rnacentral:rRNA from 1 species